rnacentral:tRNA from 1 species
AUUUAUAUAGUUUAAAUAAAACAUUAUAUUUUCAAUAUAAAAAUAAUUAAAAUUUAUAAAUA